rnacentral:lncRNA from 1 species
AAACCCCUCAGUCACCCCAUGCAGGAAACUAUGCCCCACGCUGGCAGUUCUGACCAGCCCCAUCCCUCCAUACAACAAGGUUUGCACGUACCACACCCCAGCAGCCAGGCAGGGCCUCCAUUACAUCACAGUGGGGCUCCUCCUCCUUCCCAGCCUCCCCGGCAGCCACCACAGGCCGCUCCCAGCAACCAUCCACACAGCGACCUGACCUUUAACCCCUCCUCAGCCUUAGAGGGUCAGGCCGGAGCACAGGGAGCAUCCGACAUGCCGGAACCUUCACUGGAUGUAAGUUGGGGUCACCACACACCUUGGUCUGGGGCCAGGCACGGCACCAGUACCUUCCCAAGAGAAGGGGGGUACUUAAGGGCUCAAGGCCCCGGGUGGAAAGGUGGGUGGGUGGUGGGCGGGCCCCAGCCAGUCUUCCCUGACUCCAGCCCUAGGCAGGGAGAACUGUGGCAUGAUCUUCGGUUUGCAGAUGUCUUGGUUUCUCACCCAACUCUCCUCCCUUAGCCAGACCAAUGGGAUGCUUCUAGAUUCAGGAGCUCCUCUGCCCCUGUGUGACGUACAUACUCCAAGGGUGUCACAUGGAGAGUGGGGACAGUGGACCACAGGGACAAGACAGUACAGCCAGCCACACACUCACUAAGAUUCAGAGAGAGUAGUCUAGGGCACCGUGGGGACCACCUGGUCUCCCCACGUCUUGCCUUGUGCUCCGGAUUGAAGCCAGAUGGCUUAUACCAGCAGGCUGUGUAGCCCAAAGCUGCUCUUGGCAGGCUCUGAGAGAACAGAGGAACAAUCAAAAAGAAUCCAGCCCUUGACCUGCCAUGGGGCUGAAACUGAGAGGAGGGGGUCGGCCCAGUGGGUCUCCCUGGCCUUGUCAUUUGUUGAGUGUGGGCAUGCCUGCCCCAGCUGAGAUACGGUGGUCUUGGGGACACUGUUAGUUUUCUGUCUUUGAGGAAGAACCCCAGGAGGCAAGUGGAAGGGAGUGAGAAGGUCAGAAAGACCCCUCACUCCCUCUGGACCACCCUCAGCCACCUCAACUAGGCUUCUUCUUUUCUAGCUACUGCCGGAACUCACAAAUCCCGAUGAGCUCCUCUCCUACC